CCCCUUUUAAAAGCACCUAGUGCACCUUUUGCUAGUGACCCACUGAGCCAUCAAGAAGGAACAGAGUGAAAACACUAUUUUUGGGUGAAGUGGCAACAUGACGUGUUGUUUAACUUCAAUUAGUGUUGUAAUUUGA